UACGUAGGCAGCAAGCGUUGUUCGGAAUUACUGGGCGCAAAGAGUGUGUAGGCGGUGUUCUAAGUCUGUUGUGAAAUCUCCCGGCUUAACCGGGAGGGUGCGGCGGAAACUGGAAUGCUAGAGGAUGGGAGAGGUAAGCGGAAUUCCUGGUGUAGCGGUGAAAUGCGUAGAUAUCAGGAGGAACACCUGUGGUGUAGACAGCUUACUGGACCAUUUCUGACGCUGAGACACGAAAGCGUGGGUAGCAAACAGG
rnacentral:rRNA from 1 species